CUUAGUGGCGGACGGGUGAGUAACGCGUGGGGAACCCGCCUUGCACCGGGGGAUAACACUUAGAAAUAGGUGCUAAUACCGCAUAAGCGCACAGAGCCGCAUGGCUCAGUGUGAAAAACUCCGGUGGUGCAAGAUGGACCCGCGUCUGAUUAGCUGGUUGGCGGGGUAACGGCCCACCAAGGCGACGAUCAGUAGCCGGCCUGAGAGGGUGAACGGCCACAUUGGGACUGAGACGCGGCCCAAACUCCUACGGGAGGCAGCAG
rnacentral:rRNA from 1 species